GAUAGACGCUGGCGGCGCACCUAAGACAUGCAAGUUGAACGGACUUAAUCGAAAUAUUUAUAUUUUGAAGCGGUUAGUGGCGGACUGGUGAGUAACGCGUAAGGAACCUGCCUAUUAGAGGGGAAUAACAGUGAGAAAUCAUUGCUAAUACCGCAUAUGCCAUAGAUAUCACAUGAUAACAGUGGGAAAGGGUCAAUCCGCUAAUAGAUGGCCUUGCGUCUGAUUAGAUAGUUGGUGGGGUAACGGCCUACCAAGUCGACGAUCAGUAGCCGGACUGAGAGGUUGCACGGCCACAUUGGGACUGAGAUACGGCCCAGACUCCUACGGGAGGCAGCAGUCGGGAAGAGUGCGCAAUGGAGGAAACUCUGACGCAGUGACGCCGCGUAUAGGAAGAAGGUUUUCGGAUUGUAAACUAUUGUCGUUAGGGAAGAGAAAGGACAGUACCUAAGGAGGAAGCUCCGGCUAACUACGUG
rnacentral:rRNA from 1 species